GCUUGUGUAGCUCAGUUGGUUAGAGCACCCGUUUAGUAAGCGGGAUGUCUUGAGUUCAAACCUCAACAAGAACA